rnacentral:snRNA from 1 species
GUACUCGCUUCGGCAGCACUCUGGAACGAUACAGAGAAGAAGAUUAGCAUGGUCCCUGCGCAAGGAUGACACGCAAAUUUGUGAAGCAUUCCAUAUUUUU